UGCCACAACGCGGAAGAAAGUUUUCGUCGCAAAUACUCUCUCAAACAAACAAACAACAAACCUAGAGUAAGUCAAGUUUUAAUAGCUGAAAAGAGUAAGCCAAGUAAGCUGAAACAAGUAAGCCAAGUUUCAAUUGCUGAAAAGAAAAUUUUCAAAUAUACAAAUGAAAAUAAAUUAUGAGAUGAUAAUUUAUGAUUACGCAACGCAGAAAUUCCAUACGGUAGAAUGGUAGAAAUCACAUAAAUCUCGGUGCGCUGCCGCGAAGCGUCAUUAACCGAUUCAUCUGUAUUAAUAAAUCGAUGAUGAGGAGUAGUGAGGAGGAAUGGAGAUGGGAAGAAGAGAGAAAUUCCAUACCUGACAACUCAUUUGGCAGCUCAUUCCCACCACAAGUAGUACCCUGAUCUUGCUGAGAUGACCAAGGCUGUAUACAAGAUAUGUGCAGCAACGAGGAAGAAGUGGCUAGUAAGCUACUGCUCAGCCUUCCUCUAGGAAGUCGUUCAGAAUAAAUACCAAAAGGAGAAACUGAUCUCAUACAAUAAACUAUUAAAUGUAUGUAUUUGUUGAUGGCAA